rnacentral:rRNA from 1 species
UACAGAGGCCUCGAGCGUUAGGCGGAAUCACUGGGCUUAAAGCGUGUGUAGGCGGACUGGUAAGUCCCUUGUGAAAUCCCACAGCUUAACUGUGGAACUGCUCGGUAUACUGCUGGUCUUGAGCCACUCAGGGGCUACCGGAACAAAUGGUGGAGCGGUGAAAUGCGUAGAUAUCAUGUGGAACGCCAAUGGUGAAAACAGGUAGCUGGGGGUGUGCUGACGCUGAGACACGAAAGCCAGGGGAGCAAACGGG